rnacentral:rRNA from 1 species
GAUGAACGCUGACAGAAUGCUUAACACAUGCAAGUCUACUUGAACUUCGGUUUGGGUGGCGGACGGGUGAGUAACGCGUAAAGAACUUGCCUCACAGUUAGGGACAACAUUUGGAAACGAAUGCUAAUACCUGAUAUUAUGAUUUUAGGGCAUCCUAGGAUUAUGAAAGCUAUAUGUGCUGUGAGAGAGCUUUGCGUCCCAUUAGCUAGUUGGAGAGGUAACGGCUCACCAAGGCGAUGAUGGGUAGCCGGCCUGAGAGGGUGAACGGCCACAAGGGGACUGAGACACGGCCCGUACUCCAACGGGAGGCAGCAGUGGGGAAUAGUGGACAAGGGACCAAAAGUCUGAUCCAGCAAUUCUGUGUGCACGAUGACGUUUUUCGGAAUGUAAAGUGCUUUCAGUUGGGAAGAAAAAAAUGACGUUACCAACAGAAGAAGUGACGGCUAAAUACGUG